GGGAGGAGGGGUGGAGAGACGUGCUGCUGGAAUAAAAUAAGAGCAAGCGGAAAAUACAUAGAAUAUAUACAUAUAGGUAGCUAAAGAUCUCCCUCCCACUCCGCCUGCCUCUUCCCCUCCCCCGAGCCGGGCAGCUCCGAUCUUGCAGAAACGCCUGAAACUGUUUCAGACCAAGGUUGUGCCCAUAUUACUUCCAACUCAGUCUUGUUGGUCCAGAGCUGAAAGCUAAGGAAGGAGUAGCUGCCACUGAAAGGCUGCAGCCUUCACCCUAGAAGAGGAAUGUACAACAUGCGAUCUUAACACACGAGUCUCCCCAGUGAGGAGAUUAUUAGAGUCUCUCUGCAGCAGGAGAUUAACUCUCCCAGCAAGGUGGGCACUGACAUCACCCUCGGCCUCCUGCCAGCAAUCUGCCCCAGCCUCAGCAUCCCCAGCACGAGCAGAGCCGCACCAACCGCUUGCAGCCUUGAGGACAGCUGGCCUUGCAGAGCCCUGACUAAGACAGGAAGCAAACUCAGAAACACUAGAUGGGAAUCAUGCAGAAAUCUGGGCACGUAAGUGCUGUAACAAAUAAGUGUGUGUAUAGGUCAGGGUACAAGCUGCUUUCUGCUUGUAAUCUAGACAAGCUACACAUUAGAAUUACUGCUUAGAAUAAGCAUUGCAGCUCUGCAGAAACUAUUCUACAUUGCUUAGGUAUUAAUAUUCCCAUCAGUCACAUUAGUAAAACCUUUCCUCAUAUUAACAGAAAUUUUUUCGUAGUAACCAAAUCAGUUGACUUCUAUUUUUUUAAUAAACUUUUUCCCUAUGUAACCUGUUAAAUAUUCAAUCUAGCUUCUUUCAUGAUGCAACAUUUAAAACGAAGUACAAAAUAUUUUUUCUUAUCACACAUUCAUGUCUACCAUUCCAAAAAGCUCGCAACUCUGAUAAUCCAUCUGACAACACAGUCAAUCAAAAAUCCAUCCUACAGCCGUUUCCAAAGAAACGAACACAUAACCAGGAAACCAGAAUGCUUAAGCUGGAAGGAAACCAAUCAAAGGAACACAACAACAGCAACAACAAAACUCCAACCAUUUUCCCUUUUCCUUUAAAUUUCCUCAUUUGGGGGUAUAUUACAGGGACACGGAUAAUGGUAAAUGCAGUUAUAUUAAAAGUGGUGGUGGUAUUUUUAUAUUUCUUUUAAUCCAGGAAGUUGGAUGGUUUUCUGCUCUUCCCACACACACACAAAAAAGAACUUUAAAAAAAGGACAAGUAUGUAAGAAAGACAGACACAACCACAGAACUAAAAAAUACAUCUGAAACAUCGUUGCUCACACCUCCUCCUCAUUCUUUGGCUAUCUGUCUCCUGCUUAGGCCUCCAUCUCGUGUGGAGUUUUAGGUGGGUGGACACAAUGGGCUUAUUCACAAACAUCAAGCUCAGCACAUGCCUAGGGCUUUGAAGCCUGAAGACCAUGGCUGUUCAGCUCCUUGGGACUGGGACUCUUGGGAUUUUUCAGGAGUCUAGCACAGUGAAGUUCAGUGGGAGCUGGUUACCUUCCUGCUUUUAUCUCCCGAUAAACCCAUCCCUGGUUUUUGAGGUAUCUAGAGCACUUCUGAAACAGCUGAAACUGUGUUUAAGUAGUUCCCAAUUCCACAGAUUGUUAUUCUGUAGGGAAAUACUGAAGAUGAAAGUGCAUUGUUGCAAAUAGACUGUUUACAGUAAUAGGCAUAUACACAAUCAUGUAUAAGUAAACUACAUAAACUUCUGAAGCACUCAUGGUCUUAACAGCAGAGAGCUCACCUGUGAAGCCUCAUUUCUACGUUCUUUCUCCUGUCUACUUAUGUAUUAUGAAAGCCGUUCAUUGCAUGUUCACAGACAAUUUUUUACAGACCUUUGUGCUUAGUUAACAAGAAGCCCUUCAAUGUUAUGUUUUCUGUUUUAUUUUUGAAAGCAUGCCCCAUGCUUUAUUCAUUACAUACUUAUUCAGAUCCUACUCUGCAUAGUUAUUAGUUUUCUCAUGGGCUUUUUAUGGAGCUUGUUGCUACAGUAUCCACAUGCUUCGAUAAUAUUAAUUAGUUUAGUUUCAUAAUACAUCCCUCAGAUGAGGGGGUAUUAGGAAUAUUACACAUGGGAAGCAGUUAUAGAUUGCCUGUUUUGAUACCUUGUGGACCUGUCAGGACUUGGCAGUAUAGAAAACCCUGUUUCUUCAAGGCCUGGUUCCCACUGGUUCCAGUUGCAGUAAUUUUAUUUAUUGAGUGUCCAAAACUACUUCCAAUCAAACCCUGGAGUUUUCAGGCAUCUGAAAAUGAGCAGCAAAUAAUUAGGAACAAGUGUAAUUUGAAAGCCUUGAACCAGCUUUGUCAUGGAACUCUGUGGCAGAGGCAAGGGCUAAAACUCAAAUUUCAAGCUGUUCAGCUCUCUGAAGACUUUAGACACGAUUUCCUCUUCCCAUAAUUCCUCUUCUUCAAUACUUCCUUCAGCCCCUAGAAUAAACAUUACCAGACGCCUGCCAGCAACAGCCCCAUCAUUAAUGACUCCCACAUAAUUCAUCCACUGCUUCAAAUCUUCUGCUCCUCCAUGCAGUUAGAAUGAAUAGGUAGUCCUGUGUUUGGCCCAGCAUUUGAAAAGCUGUGUGACUCUUCACCACUGGAUUUCACAGUUAUUACUGGCAAAAGAGGGACAGCAAAUCUUGGGAUCCCUUCCAAGCUCUGGGAGAAGGGGUUUCUUAAUAGCACACUCCCAUCUGCUUGCUUCCCAUGUCCUUGUUUUGCCUUAUCUUGGCUUGUUAUUUCUAACCUGUCUUCAUUCCCUCUCCGGUCUUGGCUGUUCAUCCCAGGUUUGUUUUUCUUAUCUAGUUAAUGCUAGUGUUUGAUUCUCAUCCCAGUUCCAGCUGUCCUAGUUGCACUUUUCUUUAAUCGUAUUCUUGGACUCCUCACUCUUAGAUUCAUCUUCAGCUAGGCAGGGCUGUUUUUCUGUUGUUUUGUUUUCACUCCCAUUAUCUAGUUGAUCCUUUUCUUCUGCCUUCUCACCUGAUUUAACUUCUAGUUAUGUUGACAUUCACCUUCUUUAUCUGUUAUUUACUCCAGGUAUGCACCACAAAGUUGGUCUUGCUCCUUGACCUUAUUUCCCAUUUACAGAGUUAUCCUACCUCCAGCCCUUACAUUGUUGUUCAGGCAGUUUUUCUUGUCUGCAAUCCUCCAGCUACUUCUUUCCUUUUAUUCUGUUACUCCUCAGGCCCAGUUUCCUCGUGCAAACAAUUUAAUUGUCCCAAAAUACGUCCACAAUUCCCACUGCUGAUUUCUCCUAAUAACAUCCCACAGUCUCAGGAGCUUUGUGCCAACUUUACAGUGCUGCAAGAUCAGUUCUUCUUCCCCACCUAUUCAAG